rnacentral:lncRNA from 1 species
AUGAAUCAAGUCACUUUUGAUCUUCAUGAGGAAAGUCAAUUCACCGUUGAUCGUUAUGAGGCAGGUCACGUCACAGCUGAUAUUUAUGAAUCAAGUCAAAUCACAGUUGGUCUUCCUGAGUUUUAUCACUUCUUAGCUGACAUUCCAGAGUCCCGUCACAUCACAGCUGAUUAUCCAAUGUCAAGUCACAGCAAAGCUAAUCGUCCAGUGUCAAGUCACAUCACAGCUGUUCGUUCAGAGUCCUGCCACUUCCUGUCUGUCACACCCAGAACCUCAAGAUCUGUUCUUCAACAUCCCAGACUGGCAUCCAGGAUGGUUGGUGUCAGCAUAUGCUCUGGUAUCCCUAAAUCGAUGCUAUCAAACCCUUUUUCCCCAGAUGUAAUCCCCUUGACUGCUGUAUUUCGCCUAUGUGGGAUUGCUCUCUGGUGUGUAUGGGCUGCAUUAACUACCACCGAAGUACCAGAGCCAGCGACAUCCGCUGAAGGAUUGCCAGAGGUGACGGCUGAAGCUGCAGAACCUCCAGAAAUGACGGUGGUCCUUCCGGAUUCUAUGGAGGUGGCGGCGUUUGCUGCAGAACUUUCUGAGACGUCGUCUUUCACUUCAGCUCUGGUUACUUUAGUAGCACCCAGCAGGGCUAUGGAGGCCACCUGUGAGUUCAUUGCCUGUCCUGUCAGGGCUAGGGAGGCCAUCUGUGAACUCUUGCUUUGCUCUGAACCGACCGAUAAGGCCAAAGCUCAGUCUGAUCAGUUGAGGAGGUCUUCUGCUCUGUCUGCUCCAGCUUGGUGGACUUCUGCUCCUCCGAGGUGGUCUUCUGCUCCGUCUGCUCCUCCGGGGUGGUCUUCUACUCAGUCUGCUCCGGCCUGGUGGACUUCUGCUCCUCCGAGGUGGUUUUCUGCUCAGUCUGCUCCUCCGGGAUGGCCUUCUACUCAGUCUGAUCCGGCCUGGUGGACUUCUGCUCCUCCGAGGUGGUUUUCUGCUCAGUCUGCUCUUCCGGGGUGGUCUUCUACUCAGUCUGCUCCGGCCUGGUGGACUUCUGCCCUCCGAGGUGGUUUUCUGCUCAGUCUGCUCUUCCGGGGUGGUCUUCUACUCAGUCUGCUCCGGCCUGGUGGACUUCUGCUCCUCCGGGGUGGUCUUUUGCUCAGUCUGAUCUGGCCUGGUGGACUUCUGCUCCUCCUGGGUGGUCUUUUGCUCAGUCUGAUCUGGCCUGGUGGACUUCUGCUCCUCCUGGGUGGUCUUCUGCUCAGUCUGCUCUGGCCUGGUGGUCUUCUGUCCUGUUCUGGUGGUCCUUUGCUCCAACAUGGGGAUCUUCAGAUCUGUCUACUUAGGAGUGGUGGUAUUCCGCUUCAUCUGCUUUGCCGGCUCCGCUCUGGCUUCCUAUUCUGCCUUGGUAUUCUGCUCUGCCAAGUCUGCUUCAGUCUCUAG